AGAAAAUUAGUUAAACUAUAACAAUGGACUGUCAAGCCGUAGUAGCCAAUUAAACCGGGCAUUUUCUU
rnacentral:tRNA from 1 species